CAUUUGCGCCCAGAAAUUGGUUGAUCCGCCUCAGGCGAAUCAUUAAAAGGGAAGUCCGGUGUAAUUCCGGCGCUAUCCCCGUAGCUGUAAACUCCUUUAGAGUUGUUGUACUACAAUGUCACUGUCUGCUUCUGGCAGAUGGGAAGACGAGCAACAACGGAGCAAGCCAGAAGACCUGCCACUUUCCAUAAAACCAU
rnacentral:ncRNA from 2 species